UCUUCAUUGUAGCAUAUCUUAGAAUAUAGAAAUAGGCUAUCUUAAACCUACUUGUGUGUCUUCUAGUACAUUGAUUUUCUACUUUGUGAAACAGGUACGCUUACCAAAUGUCUGCAUAAAAAAUGUUUGCUUUGAAAAGCUUCCUGAUAUAGCAUGGAUAGAAGUGCAUGCAGUAUGAACUACACGAAUGAACUACACAUGGGAAAAAGUAUUAUGGUAUGCAAUUUUACAAUUGUCUAAGAUCUAACUUCGUGCAAGUAUUACUAGUAAAAAAACAGCGCACUUUCAUUUGCGGUGCAAAUCAAAAUAAAAGCCCCUAGCACUUCUUCCAAUUACAAACGGAAGAGUCAUUGCUGAGAAUUUGAAGGGUUUUGAGCAAGCCGUUCGUGUCACGUUUUAAAAAUCUAAACAUAAUCGUGUAGCAAACUAGCAACUGCUCCAAUUAGUAGGCUACUAAAAAAUUAUUCAAUACCAUACCGUAUAGCCUAAUUUUUAUUCGAAUAAUUGCUUGGGAAAUUUAAUCUAAGCUUUCAGAAUUUAGAAUAUUAGUUUAAAAAAUAAAAGUAAGAUUUUCAAACCUUGACUGUUAAUUAACACUGUUUAUUUUUCGGUUAUGUAAAAUAAUUUAAUUGAUUAUGUGUAAGUAUUUGGUUAGUUUUCCUUUGCUCUUGAUCAUGUGCCACUACUCAAUACGAUGGACACAGUUUUAGUUGAUGCGUUUUUUUAAAGGUGGAAAGCUCCGACAACGCAACCGCACGAUCCGGGCAACUUGAAUUUUUCAAUGGCGAAAGGGAAAGCGUAGUCGUACGG